UGCUUCGCCGUGUCUUAAAGGAGU
rnacentral:piRNA from 1 species